UUAUGUGGCCAAACCUCUUUGUCCAAGCCUGAUCUCAUCAGCUCUUAGAAGCUACGCAGGGCUGGGCCUAGUUAGUAAUUGGAUGAGAGACCGCUGGGAAUAUCAGGUGCCACAGUGG
rnacentral:rRNA from 1 species